rnacentral:rRNA from 1 species
UCCGUAGGCGGGCGUCUAAGUCAGUGGUGAAAUCUUACAGCUCAACUGUAAAAUUGCCACUGAUACUGGAUGUCUUGAAUUAGUGUGAAGUGGUUAGAAUGUGUAGUGUAGCGGUGAAAUGCAUAGAUAUUACACAGAAUACCAAUUGCGAAGGCAGAUCACUAACACUAUAUUGACGCUGAGGGACGAAAGCGUGGGGAGCGAACAGGAUUAGAUACCCUGGUAGUCC